rnacentral:rRNA from 1 species
GAUGAACGCUAGCUACAGGCUUAACACAUGCAAGUCGAGGGGAAACGACAUCGAAAGCUUGCUUUUGAUGGGCGUCGACCGGCGCACGGGUGAGUAACGCGUAUCCAACCUGCCCAUCACUUGGGAAUAACCUUGCGAAAGUAAGACUAAUACCCAAUGAUAUCCCACGAAGGCAUCGGAAUGGGAUUAAAGAUUUAUCGGUGAUGGAUGGGGAUGCGUCUGAUUAGCUUGUUGGCGGGGUAACGGCCCACCAAGGCAACGAUCAGUAGGGGUUCUGAGAGGAAGGUCCCCCACAUUGGAACUGAGACACGGUCCAAACUCCUACGGGAGGCAGCAGUGAGGAAUAUUGGUCAAUGGGCGAGAGCCUGAACCAGCCAAGUAGCGUGCAGGAUGACGGCCCUAUGGGUUGUAAACUGCUUUUAUAAGGGAGUAAAGUGGGUCUCGUGAGACUUUUUGCAUGUACCUUAUGAAUAAGGACCGGCUAAUUCCGUG